UGCAAUUUCCCUUUACUUUUCUUCAAAUCAUUCAAUUUUUUUCAUUUUUUCUUUUCCAUUAAGAUUCAGAUUUCAAACAAUCCUUGAAAAAAUUUCAAUUUGAAGUCCGUGUUGCAUUUGUCCCACAUCGUUUGAAAAGCUCAAACGCUAGCAUUUGGGGUUCUUUAAAAGAACCCCAUUGUCUUCAUUCAGAGGAGAGGAUGACACACCAUCACUCAGCUAAAAGACAUUUUGAGUCUGAGCUUUGAGUUUUGUUUGGUAUUCUGUAGUUCAAACUUUGAUGUUUGUUUUUUUUCCUUCAUCGAGUCUGAGUUUCUAUUGGCAAUAAGCUAAAAUGAAGUUCGUCGGUGAAGUUCGAAGGUGAUUCGCUUCUUUCGUCACCCCCGUCGCUACUCGGCAAAAAGGCAUGAAAAUCCCGAGACGAGUCCAACUGGACUUAUGCAUUUUCCUCCGCAUUACCUCGUUGGGCCGGAAACCCAAUAUUACAUUAGAUCGAGUCAGACCACAAACAUUAAAGGCCCAACCAUGGGUAAAAAUGGCAAUUAGUGGGCUUCGGUAGACCCACUAGCCUAAACCUUUCUUCCUUAUUUUUACAAGUCGUAUUUAUGUAUGUGUUGUAAAAUGCUAUGUAAAUAUUGGAACCCAUAUGAUUGGAACUUAGUUGAA